rnacentral:rRNA from 1 species
UAGAGUUUGAUCCUGGGCUCAGGGACGAACGCUGGGCGGGCGUGCUUAAUACAUGCAAAGUCAAAGGAGAACGUUUUUCUUUCGGAAAACUAUUAAACUGGCGAACGGGUGAGUAACACGUAGGCAACCUGCCUUGGAGAUGGGGAUAACCUCGGGAAACCGGGACUAAUACCGAAUAAUGCAGCGGCUUCUUUGGAAGAUGUUGUUAAAGCGGGCUUCGGCUCGCACUUCAAGAUGGGCCUGCGUCCGAUUAGCUUGUUGGUAAGGUAACGGCUUACCAGGCGAUGAUCGGUAGCUGGUCUGAGAGGAUGAUCAGCCACACUGGGAUUGAGAUACGGCCCAGACUCCUACGGGAGGCAGCAGUAGGGAAUUUUGCGCAAUGGACGAAAGUCUGACGCAGCAACGCCGCGUGAUCGAUGAAGCUUCUAGGAGUGUAAAGAUCUGUCGUGAGAAAGAAAAAUCUGGAUGUAAAUAAUGUUUGACUUGACGGUACCUUACAAGAAAGCACCGGCUAACUUCGUGCCAGCCGCCGCGGUAAUACA